AUGCACGCUGGCGGCGUGCCUCAUACAUGCAAGUCGAGCGAACAGAUAAGGAGCUUGCUCCUUUGACGUUAGCGGCGGACGGGUGAGUAACACGUGGGUAACCUACCUAUAAGACUGGAAUAACUCCGGGAAACCGGGGCUAAUGCCGGAUAACAUUUAGAACCGCAUGGUUCUAAAGUGAAAGAUGGUUUUACUAUCACUUAUAGAUGGACCCGCGCCGUAUUAGCUAGUUGGUAAGGUAACGGCUUACCAAGGCAACGAUACGUAGCCGACCUGAGAGGGUGAUCGGCCACACUGGAACUGAGACACGGUCCAGACUCCUACGGGAGGCAGCAGUAGGGAAUCUUCCGCAAUGGGCGAAAGCCUGACGGAGCAACGCCGCGUGAGUGAUGAAGGUCUUCGGAUCGUAAAACUCUGUUAUUAGGGAAGAACAAAUGUGUAAGUAACUGUGCACGUCUUGACGGUACCUAAUCAGAAAGCCACGGCUAACUACGUG
rnacentral:rRNA from 1 species